rnacentral:rRNA from 1 species
CCUACGGGAGGCAGCAGUGGGGAAUCUUGCGCAAUGGGCGAAAGCCUGACGCAGCAACGCCGCGUGCGGGAAGAAGGCUUUCGGGCUGUAAACCGCUUUCAGCAGGAACGAAAAUGACGGUACCUGCAGAAGAAGGAGCGGCCAACUAUGUGCCAGCAGCCGCGGUGAUACAUAGGCUUCAAGCGUUGUCCGGAUUUAUUGGGCGUAAAGAGUUCGUAGGCGGUCGAGUAAGUCGGGUGUGAAAAUUCUGGGCUCAACCCAGAGACGCCACCCGAUACUGCUUGACUUGAGUUCGAUAGGGGAGUGGGGAAUUCCUAGUGUAGCGGUGAAAUGCGCAGAUAUUAGGAGGAACACCGGUGGCGAAGGCGCCACUCUGGAUCGAUACUGACGCUGAGGAACGAAAGCAUGGGUAGCAAACAGGAUUAGAUACCCUGGUAGUCCAUGCCGUAAACGGUGGGCACUAGGUGUGGGUUUCUAUUAACGAAAUCCGCGCCGUCGCUAACGCAUUAAGUGCCCCGCUGGGGAGUACGGUCGCAAGACUAAAACUUAAGGAAUUGACGGNNGAGAGNGCGAGACGACGAGAGGAGAG